GAUGAAGAACGCAGCGAAAUGCGAUAAGUAAUGUGAAUUGCAGAAUUCAGUGAAUCAUCGAAUCUUUGAACGCACAUUGCGCCCGCCAGUAUUCUGGCGGGCAUGCCUGUCCGAGCGUCAUUUCAACCCUCGAACCCCUCCGGGGGUACGGCGUUGGGGAUCGGCCCUUUACGGGGCCGGCCCCGAAAUACAGUGGCGGUCUCGCCGCAGCCUCUCCUGCGCAGUAGUUUGCACACUCGCAUCGGGAGCGCGGCGCGUCCACGUCCGUAAAACACCCAACUUCUGAAAUGUUGACCUCGGAUCAGGUAGGAAUACCCGCUGAACUUAAGCAUAUCAAUAAGCGGGGGA
rnacentral:misc_RNA from 1 species